rnacentral:rRNA from 1 species
AUACGUAGGGGGCGAGCGUUAUCCGGAUUUAUUGGGUUUAAAGGGUGCGUAGGCGGAUGAUUAAGCGUGAGGUGAAAUGCCACUGCUCAACAGUGGAACUGCCUCGCGAACUGGUUGUCUUGAAUGCUCCUGCCGUGGGAGGAAUGUGUGGUGUAGCGGUGAAAUGCAUAGAGAUCACACAGAACACCGAUUGCGAAGGCAUCUCACGAAGGGGUGAUUGACGCUGAGGCACAAAAGCGUGGGGAUCAAACAGGAUUAGAUACCCUGGUAGUCCACGCAGUAAACGAUGAUAACUAACCGCUGGGUCGUAGUGAUUCAGUGGCCAAGCGAAAGCGAUAAGUUAUCCACCUGGGGAGUACGACCGCAAGGUUGAAACUCAAAUGAAUUGGCGGGG